UACGUAGGGUGCGAGCGUUGUCCGGAAUUAUUGGGCGUAAAGGGCUCGUAGGCGGUUUGUCGCGUCGGGGGUGAAAACUCAGGGCUUAACCCUGAGCCUGCUCCCGAUACGGGCAGACUAGAGGUAUGCAGGGGAGAACGGAAUUCCUGGUGUAGCGGUGAAAUGCGCAGAUAUCAGGAGGAACACCGGUGGCGAAGGCGGUUCUCUGGGCAUUACCUGACGCUGAGGAGCGAAAGUGUGGGGAGCGAACAGG
rnacentral:rRNA from 1 species